rnacentral:rRNA from 1 species
AUUGAACGCUGGCGGCAUGCUUUACACAUGCAAGUCGAACGGUAACAGGCCGCAAGGUGCUGACGAGUGGCGAACGGGUGCGUAAUGCAUCGGAACGUGCCCAGUCGUGGGGGAUAACUACUCGAAAGAGUAGCUAAUACCGCAUACGAUCUAUGGAUGAAAGCGGGGGACCGUAAGGCCUCGCGCGAUUGGAGCGGCCGAUGUCAGAUUAGGUAGUUGGUGGGGUAAAGGCUCACCAAGCCAACGAUCUGUAGCUGGUCUGAGAGGACGACCAGCCACACUGGAACUGAGACACGGCCCAGACUCCUACGGGAGGCAGCAGUGGGGAAUAUUGGACAAUGGGCGCAAGCCUGAUCCAGCAAUGCCGCGUGCAGGAAGAAGGCCUUCGGGUUGUAAACUGCUUUUGUACGGAACGAAACGGCUCUGGUUAAUACCCGGGGCUAAUGACGGUACCGAAAGAAUAAGCACCGGCUAACUACGUG